rnacentral:lncRNA from 1 species
CCUCUGAGAUUAAGGAAAAUUUACCACAGCUGGUCAGUGAAACUGCAGUGUAGGAAGUGGUGUCUCACUGUCUCUGUAUCCUUGCCACAUAAGGAGCACCUGUUCUGCCUCUUGAGACAUGAAAGACUGGACAAACAAGCCUCUUUAGGAAUUUAAGGUACACAUCCAAGAAUAUAGCAUAAUAUGGCAAGAGUAGAAGUUGAUAAAAAGUACUUCCAAAAAGGAUGUGGCAUUUUUUGGCUACCAUUUCAGAAAUCAUAUACGUUCAAAGGUUAUAAACCCUUGAAAUAAGUAAUUUAGCAAACUAACCAUUCUUCAAAACUAAGAAAAAUUAAUGCAAGUACUUGCAACGUCAGUAAUACCAAGCAGAAUUUAUGUGAAUUGAAAUACCAGCGCACUUAACUGAAACUAAAGUCAUUAUCCUUAUCCGUGGAUAACUUAUCUGACUAUAUCUCAUGUUAUUUCAUCCAGUCCACCAACCAAAUAUACUCCAAAGUCAUUUUGCACUCCACUAUUAGUUACUUUAAAUCAAUUUGAACAUUUAGUCACAAUCUACUACUUAUAAAGUAUCAUUAAAUCCAUAAGAAUCCCCUACAUGUACUGUUACUUCGUCCAGUCUAUUUUUUUCUUGGCAGCUGAGAAAUUUGCUAUUUCCAGCAUUGCCACUUUAUCCUCUACUUAAAUACUAGACUUGUCUCAUUUGCCAAGAUUCGACCUCAUUCUUUCAACACAGCCCAUGCUGCACUAUCUUUAUUCUCGAGUCUUCCAAUGACAGAAAGCUCCCCAUCCUUUCCUUGAAGUUUCUGAAAAUAGGAAGUGUGAAAUCAACUAUAUUCUGGCCAAACAAACAAACCAGUGUUGAAGUUCUCUCCAAAUAUGUUUCAUUACCUUGGAGGUUUCAUAAGCUAAUAACUGCACUGCACUAUAAGGUAUGAUCUGUAAUUCUGUAUCACAUAAACCAUUAUAAGAAAAUAAUCAACUUGAUGCUUAAAAAAGCAACCGCCAAGAAUUGACUAGAAAUGUGACUCAUUGGGAAAAUGGUGCAAAUACCUGUGGAAGAUUUCCUUUAUAAUAUCCUUUGAUACCUUCCUCCUAUCUGAUCAAGCACGGAUCAUCCUCCAUCUUUCUAUGUUUGUAGCCCCAACUCCAGCCUCCUCCCAAUUGAAUAGAGUCUCAUCAAUCUUACUAGGCAUACUCCAGGAAAUGCCUCUGAGAUUAAGGAAAAUUUACCACAGCUGGUCAGUGAAACUGCAGUGUAGGAAGUGGUGUCUCACUGUCUCUGUAUCCUUGCCACAUAAGGAGCACCUGUUCUGCCUCUUGAGACAUGAAAGACUGGACAAACAAGCCUCUUUAGGAAUUUAAGGUACACAUCCAAGAAUAUAGCAUAAUAUGGCAAGAGUAGAAGUUGAUAAAAAGUACUUCCAAAAAGGAUGUGGCAUUUUUUGGCUACCAUUUCAGAAAUCAUAUACGUUCAAAGGUUAUAAACCCUUGAAAUAAGUAAUUUA